AUUGAACGCUGGCGGCAUGCUUUACACAUGCAAGUCGAACGGCAGCGAGGAGAAGCUUGCUUCUCUGUCGGCGAGUGGCGAACGGGUGAGUAUAGCAUCGGAACGUGCCAAGUAGUGGGGGAUAACCAAACGAAAGUUUGGCUAAUACCGCGUAAGCUCUAAGGAGGAAAGUAGGGGACCUAAAUAAGGCCUUACGCUAUUUGAUCGGCCGAUGUCGGAUUAGCUAGUUGGUGGGGUAAUGGCUCACCAAGGCAAUGAUCCGUAGCGGGUCUGAGAGGACGAUCCGCCACACUGGGACUGAGACACGGCCCAGACUCCUACGGGAGGCAGCAGUGGGGAAUUUUGGACAAUGGGGGAAACCUUGAUCCAGCCAUGCCGCGUGUAUGAAGAAGGCCUUAGGGUUGUAAAGUACUUUUGUUAGGGAAGAAAAGCUAGUUUUUAAUAAAAAUUAGUGAUGACGGUACCUAAAGAAUAAGCACCGGCUAACUACGUG
rnacentral:rRNA from 1 species